AUUGAACGCUGGCGGCAGGCUUAACACGUGCAAGUCGAGCGGGGAAGAGUAGCUUGCUACUUAACCUAGCGGCGGACGGGUGAGUAAUGCUUAGGAAUCUGCCUAUUAGUGGGGGACAACAUUCCGAAAGGGAUGCUAAUACCGCAUACGUCCUACGGGAGAAAGCAGGGGAUCUUCGGACCUUGCGCUAAUAGAUGAGCCUAAGUCGGAUUAGCUAGUUGGUGGGGUAAAGGCCUACCAAGGCGACGAUCUGUAGCGGGUCUGAGAGGAUGAUCCGCCAGACUGGGACUGGGACACGGCCCAGACUCCUACGGGAGGCAGCAGUGGGGAAUAUUGGACAAUGGGGGGAACCCUGAUCCAGCCAUGCCGCGUGUGUGAAGAAGGCCUUAUGGUUGUAAAGCACUUUAAGCGAGGAGGAGGCUACUUAGAUUAAUACUCUAGGAUAGUGGACGUUACUCGCAGAAUAAGCACCGGCUAACUCUGUGCCAGCAGCCGCAGUAACAC
rnacentral:rRNA from 1 species